rnacentral:tRNA from 1 species
UUUCAUAAAGCACGUUGCUUCGUGUGCUCGAUUUCGACUCGAGAGGAGGGGUACCCCUAUGAAAU